UUCCAAGGUCCCCUCUGCUCCAAUGUUCUGAGAGCUAAUGGCGGCUAUAUUUUGGGGCUACCCCCACCUCAGGCUUCUCCGUCUCCCCGGAAGCCUCAGAGACUCCAGGAGGAAGAGGAACCUGAACUAGGUUGGGGACGGGGCUCUGACUUCUGUAUUUGCCCUCUGCUAAGCCAAAGUGCCGCCUGUGGGCAUGGUGGUUAGCACAGUUUACAGGGCCUCCCUGGUGAUGCAAGGGGUUAAGACACAACCUGUGAAGCUGUCCGCAGCCACUGCAGCACAAGUGUGAUCCCCCGGCCGGCCAGGGAGCAACCCACAUGGAGCAGCAGAACUCUUCUGACUGGCCUGCUGCUCCCCUCAGCAGUGUACUUUGGUCAAUCUGCCUGUUCUGUUCCCACACCUCUGGCCUGUACCCCAGCUCUUGUAUGCAUAAAUAAAUAAAUCUUUAAAAAAAAAAAAAAACCAACAACUUACAGAGGCCUCCCUGGUGGUACAAGGAGUUAAGUCUCAGCACUAUGAAGCUAUCACCAGUCACCGCAGCAUGAGUUCAAUCCCUGGCCAGGGCGCUGACCCACAUGGUGCAGCAGACCUCUCCUGUCUCACCCGCUGCCCUCCUCAGCAGUGUAUUUCGGUAGAUCCACCUCUUCUGCUCCCCACUCUGUUUCUGAUGAAUCCUCUCACCCCCUCCCCACCUCUGGCCUACACCCCAACUCUUCUAUGCAUACAUAAAUAAAUCUUUUUAAAAAAAUUCAGCUCACAUUUCAACUGUGGGAGGGAGUGCUGGCUGUCCUGUUGUUCCUGUGGUCUCCUAUGAAGUAUCCCAGCCUGAGCCCUGGGGAAGGAUUUACAGAAAAGGAUUUACAGCCCUCAGGAUUUACAGAAAAUUGAAGAACUACCUUGCUGAUCGGAAAAGCUGCACCUUUGCCCCCUUACACUGGUGAAUAGGACCAACCACCUCGGUUCAACUCGGAGUAAGAGUCUGGGCUCAGGUCUCACCCUUAACCCUUGAGGAUGUGACCCACUGGGAACAACUAUUUAAGGACCCACUGUAGGGUAAGGUAAAAAAUCAGGCUUUUCUGCCCUCCUGCCAUGAGGAUAGAUGAGGGAACCCUGUGAUCCUGAAUGCAUGCCUGAUGGCGAGCACCUGAAGUGGGUACACCUGUGCUAAGACUGUGCUUUCAAGGGCGGUGUCACGCAGACGCCGGUAGAAGCCAAAAAAGAAGCAGCCAGCAGCAGAAGCCGAAAGAGAAGCCAAGAGAGAAGCAAAGAAGCAGAAGCAGAAGCAGAGAAUACCAGUGAGCCCAGAUAGAAUGAAGACUCGCUGGGGGCUGCGAGGCCUGCCAGCCUCCCGGGGCCCCCCAGCAUCCCUGCCUGCCAUAUGCCUGGUGAACCCCAAUAAAAGCCCUGCAAAA